GUGGCUUCUGGAGUCUUCUAGAUGAUAGAAAAUUGCGCGACACGUUAAUAUCUCUAUGUAAACCCGACGUGUGGGCCUUUCUUCCGUAUUUCCUGAUAACCCUCUGCAGAAAUAGACAAACACCAAAACUCGUGGAAUUCUGUCAGAUAAAACCCUAAGUCUAGGUGUUGGUUCCAUUUAGAUCCUUUUCUAUGAUUAGUUGAUGGUUAAAUGUGAGCAUUAAGGACCGUCAACAAGCUCCCCCAAGCUUAACCUUUGCUCGUCCCUGAGCAAAGAUGGACUCAAGAGUUUCUGCAGUGGUUUCAUAACUUAAAGAUACACAUGCGUUUAAACAAGAUCUCAUCUCUGGUUAGAGUAAACUGUUAAGACCUAAAACUUACUCAUUUACCUUUCACCAUGGGACUUGUAACCGUCACUUCUAUCUUGAGCAGUUAAAAGAUAGAACGUUCUAGUCAAGCGCCAUGUCUCUAGUUCUACGAUUAACUAUAGCUCUGGAGUUUUUGCAGAUUUUCAAAUAAAACUCAAAGAUUCCUUGUAUGACUCUCUCUAGUCUCUCGUUUGUGAUAUUUCUGGAUCCUUACCAAGGCAGUAAUGGUAUACGCCUUCUCUCAAAAUCUAUAGUAUUUAUGGUAUAAAGCAUAGUGGCAUUGCCUUCUCUCUCACCCUACUCUAAUAAGGCUUUAAUAUCUGGAGCUCAUAUAGGUGGGAGAUAAAGUGUACAUACUUACAAGACAUGUAUUGUAUAGUCAAACCAUGGAUCCAAAGAAACAAAUCAAUAAGUCAAAUCAAGAUGUGCAUGUGUGGCGAAUGAAUGGUGUAUGGUGAUGAUGGUGAUAACAAUGGUGAAAGUCUAAUUCUACUUAUGCUCUUUUGAGGGGAUACAUACCUUUCUUGCUCUUUUGAAACUUUUUGAGGAGAAUGAGAUGCUCUAUAUUUUUGUUUUCUUUUCUCUCAGGUGGGUAUCUUGUACCCCUAAUUCUACUGUCGGACACUUGUCCAUUUUUACCUCUCAUCUCACUUUUUUUUUCUUUUCUUUCGAGGUUCCGGGCACUUGCCCCUUUUUAUUUCCUCGUAUUUAUUAUUAUUUUUAUUUUUUAGAGCACUCAUCUCCUGAAAUAUAUAGCAAGUGGUAGUAACCAAGAUAACUUGAGCAUUUAUUUCACAAGGGAAAAACAGAAAUGUUUUUGGCUAUUCUCUCCCGGAUUAGGAGUAGAAUAUUUUUGGGUGGUUCUGGAGAUGGAAAUGGGUUGAUGUAUGUGGAUGCGUACUUCCAGAGUAGAAGCAGCAUGUAUGAGUGAACGUGCAAGUGAAUCUUGACUUAACCACAUGACAAGCUCCUAAGGGUCUACACAGCUUGACCACACUCAAUGCUCAUAAGCAGUAAAAAGUAAAUGUGUGGCUCAAAGUCUAGCAAGCAUGUAUAUAUGGCUGUGGUAGGAAUUUAAACUCUCAUCAUACAGGAACUCGUCAUGCAACAUUUUAAAGAUUUUUAAAGAUAAAAUUCUCCAGAAUUCUAGCAUCUCUAGGAACAGAUAAACAACAACUCAACCUUCCCAUAUCAUAUCCGUUAACGACUUAGACUUUAGAUAAAAUACUCUCCCCACAAGUUCAGGUUUAGAGCAAAUCUUAAUUAAUACCUGUCAUGCCUAAACUUGAGAGAGAUUUCAGUUUUGAGAAUUAGUCAUGGCAGAGCAACUAUUCAUCAUUUCCAUGUGAGAGCUUAUCAUGAGGGUUCAUAGCAAAUUUUAUUUAUUUAUUUAUUUAGCAAACUAAGCAAAGAUAUAUAUAAGCACAAAAUCUUUAUUUGGGUUUUUAUGAUUGUGCAUCUUUUUUAUUAUUUAAGUAAAGUAUAAACAUGAGUAGAGCACUUAGCUGGAUAAAUGGGGUUGCUCUCCCCCAAGCUGGGUUUUGACGUAAUUCCUUCUGAUGUAGCUAGCAGGUGGCGGAGGUGUAUUUGAAUGUGGCAGCACCCUGACAGCGAUUAGGAUGUCCUCUGUCUGCUAGUCUUCUUUGAUCCUUGAAUUCUGUGGAGCUCAAAUAGACAACAAAGCUUUGUGGAACUAGUUAAGUGUUAGCAUAAAUAUCUAGCCUUUAUCAUGUUGAGCCUCCUCUAUAAAUGCUACUCUCUUUAGUAGGAUCAUAAAUUUAUUUUUAUAUUUUCAUUUUUAUAGGACAGGAAUAUAUAUAUUUAUUUUUACGCCACCACAGUGAAUGUACUUAUGGGUUUUAUGCCAUGAGCAUACUCAUAUGGGGCUUACUAUUUUUAACAUUUUUAUUUUCUUUUCAAGAUAGCAUGAACCUGAUUAACUAAGCAAACUAUUUUAAAUAAUUGAAAGGAGAAGGAUAACUACCAAGUUUACCUCUUGGCAAGGCGUUCGGUGUUUUUAAGUCCUCCGAACGGGACUCUCCGUAUUCUCAGUCGUCCUGGGAUUCGCUGGAUGGCGUAGUCGGUGGUUCCGGCGGUGCCUGCUCUUCGUGUAUAACUAUCUUCUCUCUCCACACCUGACUCGGUGCUACGGUCUCCUUAGGACAGUUCUGUUCAAGUUGUAUGUCUUCAGACAUUACCACUUCUCCUUCAUAGUCUGCCCAUCCAUCCUUUAUGAUUUUCCUCCUCUGGUUACGGUUGCGUCGUCUUCUUCUUGUCC
rnacentral:lncRNA from 1 species